CCGACUCAUUCCUGCGGACCACGGCCGGAAUCCUGAACUGCCCCUCUUUGCCUGUAACUGUUUGCAACACAGUCCCCAUCUCCGAAUAACCAAAUUUUCUCCUUUAAUGAAGGGUUGCUAAAGUCAAGGUCAAUCACAAUGAUGAAUCAUUUCCUUGGGGGCUUCUCUGAUUCCCCACCCGGCCGCCCCUUCGUUCCACACUUUCCCUUUCAAGCAUACUCAAACUCCAGGUUUCCACCUGCGGCCGCUGCCACGCUGGCUCUCCCACACUCACUCCCGCCCUCCAGCUGCUAUAGCUAAAAUCUGGAGCCACGGAGUUCACUUUUCUAUAGAAGACAAAGCUGAGCAUGCUCAGUGGCCAAGGCAAAGUUUGGUCGGAAACUAGUUUUUGCAUUAGACUCUCCAUGGGCUCCAUAGACUCUCCUGUACCUUACGACUAGGCACAGGAGCGUUUCCCCGGUGAAAUGGAGAAGAGGACACUUGGUCUUUUCAACUUUACUAGGAGGGCUCCUUUCUUCCCAGUCCGUAAGGAGGGGUCUGACUUUCAUUUCCACCCCAGCAUUAUCACCUUAACUCUCAUUCCAGUCAAUCCCGAAACUCCGUUGCCCUACCCACUUCACCCUUCUUUUGUUUGUCCUGAUUUGAUUCCUGCGUUCUCACAGAGGGCUACCUGGACUUUGAACCUCCACCCCCCUUUCUACAUUCUUGCAUUCCAGAAACAUAUGAAGCUCAUUUCUGCCACCCUUCCUAGAAAACUGGUUCCUGACAGAGACAUGUGGAAAGGUAAGUAAACCUGGGCCCAAGAUCACAGAGCACACAGCUGGAAUUCACAGCAAGACCUGAUUGACUUCGAAGUCAGUGGUCUUUCCCCUGCUUCCCACGAGACAGGUAAUCCCUCAGCUUACUCUUGAAGAGGCAAUGUGGGCUACUGCAUUUGAAUGUCUGAAUUCAAGCCUUGUAGAAACAACUAGCAGUAACCAAACACCAUUAUUUUUGUUUGUUCAUUUGUUUCCAAAUGACUUGUGACUUUUCUAAUGGAGAAAACACUCAACCCAAAUCUUAAUUCCACCAACAAUGAGUGUGUGCCUUGGACAAUUCACAGCCUGUCUGAGCUAGUUUAUUUUAGAGUAAGCAAGUUGGAGUAGGUGACCUCUGUGUUCUUUGUAAUUUGAGACGUUUUGGUGUUCACACAGGUUACUACAUGAAGAGCUGGGACUGGAAUACAGGUUUUCUAUGUUCACCUGGGGAUAGCUUUUCCAUCAUCCCUCCUGAGUCUGUGAGGUAUCCCAGUUUUUAAGCCAGAACUUUGAAACCAGAAGUAAAUGGUUAAGUUUAUCUGUCUAUGCCUAUGUGUAUUCUAGCCAAAUAAACCAUGACACUUAAAACAAUUUCAAUAUUUCAAAGAUGUAGUAAAUUUCCUUGAACCUUUUUUAUUGUUUUUUAUAAAUUAAAAAUUAUGAAAUAAUUCAAACAUUUUUAAAAUAGGAAAUAACGUGAUAUGCAUGUACCCCAUACCCAGAUUUAAUAGAUGUUUACAUUAUGCAGUAUCUGUUUCUUUUUUUUUUUUUUUUCUUGAGACAGAGUCUUGCUCUGUCACCCAGGCUGGAGUGCAGUGGCAUAAUCUCGGCUCACUGCAACCUCCGCCUCCCGGGUUCAAGCGAUUCUCCUGCCUCAGCCUCCUGAGUAGGUGAGAUUACAGGCGCGCACCACCAAGUCCAGCUAUUUUUUGUGUUUUUAGUAGAGACAGGGUUUCACCAUGUUGGUCAGGCUGGUCUCGAACUCCUGACCUCGUGAUCCACCUACCUUGGCCUCCCAAAGUGCUGGGAUUGCAGGCAUGAGCCACCGCACCUGGCCUUCAAUUUUUUGAUAGAAGUAAGACAUCACAGGUACAAUCAAAGUUUCCUAAUCUUAUAUUUCUUCUCACACUUCCCAGAGGAAAAUGACUAUUCUAAAGUUAGUUACUUCUAUUUCUUAAUUGUAAUACAUUUAUUCAUAUUCUUAAGACAUUUAUGUAAUAUUGUGUUAAGUAUUUUUGAAAUGUAUAUAAAUGGAAUCAUACAAUAAAGACCCUCAGCAGUUUUUUUUCACUGAAUGUUCUGGUUUCAAGAUUUAUCCAUGUGAAUAUGUGUAGGUCUAGUUUAUUCAUUUUAAUUAUUGUGUUAUAUUUUAUUGUAUGACCAUAACAUUUAUUUUUUCUUUUGAUUGUGAAUUUAAUUUUUUUAAUAUUUAAACAGUGCUGCAAUGAACAUUUUUCCUUAUAUCUAUCUGCUUGUUCCUGUGAGCUUCUCAAACCAUGACCUGAAGAUCGCUACCAGUUCAUAACUAAUUAAGUACAGAAAUUGACAAUAUUAAUUUAGAAACUUUAAUAGCAAUCCAACUGAGUACUUUUAUGUCUAUUGAAUCCAAUAAUACAGAAUAUUGAGUUCUGUAUUUUGUAUGUCUGUUUUAAAAUUUUAUUUUUUUGAGAUAGGGUCUCACUCUGUCUCCUAGGCCAGAGUGCAGUGGCGCAAUCACAGCUCACUGUAGCCUCAAAACUCCCAGGCUCAGGUGAUCGAUCCUCUCACCUCAGCUCCUGAGGAGCUAGGACUACAGGCGCACACCACCAUACCUGGCUAAUUUUUUCACUUGUUAUAGAGAUGGGGCUUUGCCAUCUUGCCCAGACUGGUCUCGAACUCCUGGGCUCAAGUGAUCCAUCCACCUCAGCCUUCCAACAUGCUGGGACUACAGGCAUGAGCCACUGUCCCCAGCCAAAAUUUUAUUUAUUCAUUUUCAUUGUAUUUUACAAACAUAUUGAUCCUCAGCAGCAUGGAAAUAUUUUUAGAAAACUUGCCUUUUUAUUACAGAUAGUUUGAGACUUUCUGCAUGGUUUCUACUUGCAAGUUGAAUUUCUGGCUUGAUGAAUAAGUGCAUCUUUAGCUCUAAAACAUAUAAACAAAUUCCACUCCAGAAUGGUCAAACCAAUUUUCAAUCUCUUCUGCAGUGUAUAAGUUUCCUUUUCCAACAGUUGCAUUAUCAGACCUUUAAAUCUUUUCUCAAUAUGAUAGCUAUGAAAUAUUUUAUUUAACUAGCAAUUAUCUGAUAAAUAGUGACGUUGAACAUCUAUUUAUAUGCUAAUUACAUUCCCAGUUACCUGACUUUAACAAGGCAGGUUUUCCAGUUUGCAAGUAUGGGGAAAAUAUGUCUUUAAAAAUCUAGCUAUAGCAGGCAAAGUAUCAUAACAGGUAAAACUGGUUUUUAAGAAGAAAAGCCUAGGAACAGCUAGCUUUGACUUGAUGAAGGACAGGAAAAACCAGUUGUAGCAAUUGAGUACAUGGACAGAUACUUUAGAGUACAUGUCUUUUCCGGUAUUUUGGUUUUGGGACAAUCCCUCCAUCACCAUUAUGACGUUUCAGUGGAGCAAUUUUCACUAAGAAUUUUGUACCUGUUUUCCAGUUUUGAUCAUCGAUGAUUUUCUGGUUCUAAUGAGAUCAAGGACAUGAAGAGGCUGAGUGCCUCCAUGAGCUUCAUUAUUUUCCAUGAUCUGACCUCUCAUUCUCUUAAGCUUUGGAGUUGGAUGAAGGAAGAACUCUGAAAAAAAGGUGGGAGGGUGUAGGUCCAGGCACCCCCUUGUAAUUCACACUGCCUCAGCCUGAGAGUUUGUGUGUGUGUGUGUGUGUGUGUGUGUGUGUGUGUGUGUGUGUGUUGUUGUUGUUGUUGUUUUUGAGAUGGAGUCUGCCUCUGUUGCCAGUCUGGAGUGCAAUGGUGCCAUCUCAGCUCACUGCAACCUCUGCCUCCCGGGUUCAAGCGAUUCUCCUGCCUCAGCCUCCCGAGUAGCUGGGACUACAGGCAAAUGCCACCAUGCCUGGCUAAUUUUUUGUAUUUUUAGUAAGACGGGGUUUCACCGUGUUAACCAGGAUGGUCUCGAUUUCCUGACCUCGUGAUCCGCCCACCUCGG
rnacentral:lncRNA from 1 species